AGCCUUUAGCCAAACAAGUAUUAAAGGUAUCGCCUGCCCAGUGAAAAAUUUUAACGGCCGCGGUAUUCUAACCGUGCAAAGGUAGCGUAAUCACUUGUCUUCUAAAUAAAGACUCGUAUGAACGGCUAAAUGAGGACAAACCUGUCUCCUAAGACCAAUCAGUGAAACUGAUCUUCCAGUCCAAAAGCUGGAAUAACCACAUAAGACGAGAAGACCCUGUGGAGCUUCAAACCAACCGCUAACGCAAAUCGAACUAGCACAAGGUUUUAAGUUGGGGCGACUUCGGAAUAAAGUACAACUUCCGAGCACAGGAGCACCACUCCUUCCUGAGGCCAACAAGCCAAAAAAUAUAAAAACGACCCAGUCAAACUGACCUUCGAACCAAGUUACCCCAGGGAUAACAGCGCAAUCUUCUUCAAGAGUCCAUAUCGACAAGAAGGUUUACGACCUCGAUGUUGGAUCAGGACACCCUAAUGGUGCAGCCGCUAUUAAAGGUUCGUUUGUUCAACGAUUAACAGUCCUACGU
rnacentral:rRNA from 1 species